rnacentral:tRNA from 1 species
GCACCCGUAGCUCAGCUGGAUAGAGCGCUGCCCUCCGAAGGCAGAGGUCACAGGUUCGAGUCCUGUCGGGUGCGCCA